GAGAGGCUCAACCUCUUCGAGCCGUUGAAACUGGUUUUCUUGAGUGAGCGAGAAGUAUGCGGAAUGCGUGGUGUAGCGGUGAAAUGCAUAGAUAUCACGCAGAACUCCGAUUGCGAAGGCAGCAUACCGGCGCUCAACUGACGCUCAUGCACGAAAGUGUGGGUAUCGAACAGGAUUAGAUACCCUGGUAGUCCACACAGUAAACGAUGAAUACUAAUUGUUCGGGGAGAAUGAUCCCUGAGUGAUACAGCGAAAGCGUUAAGUAUUCCACCUGGGGAGUACGCCGGCAACGGUGAAACUCAAAGGAAUUGACGGGGGCCCGCACAAGCGGAGGAACAUGUGGUUUAAUUCGAUGAUACACGAGGAACCUUACCCGGGCUCAAACGACACAGGAAUACUUUUGAAAGGAGGUAGCUCUACGGAGUCUGUGUCGAGGUGCUGCAUGGUUGUCGUCAGCUCGUGCCGUGAGGUGUCGGCUUAAGUGCCAUAACGAGCGCAACCCCCAUCGCCAGUUACCAGCAAGUCAAGUUGGGGACUCUGGCGAGACUGCCGGCGCAAGCUGUGAGGAAGGCGGGGAUGACGUCAAAUCAGCACGGCCCUUACGUCCGGGGCGACACACGUGUUACAAUGGCAGGUACAGAGAGAAGCAAUGCGGCGACGCAAAGCGGAACUUGAAAGCCUGUCUCAGUUCGGAUUGGAGUCUGCAACUCGACUCCAUGAAGCUGGAUUCGCUAGUAAUCGCGCAUCAGCCAUGGCGCGGUGAAUACGUUCCCGGGCCUUGUACACACCGCCCGUCAAGCCAUGGAAGCCGGGAGUGCCUGAAGUGUGCAACCGCAAGGAGCGCCCUAAGGUAAAACUGGUGACUGGGGCUAAGUCGUAACAAGGUAACCGUAA
rnacentral:rRNA from 1 species